rnacentral:lncRNA from 1 species
UUUGAAAGAAAAAUAAUAGUAAUUGAUUCAAUCUACGACGUUCCUCAGAUUAAAUUUUUGAAAACGUGAUAAUUAUGCCAAAGUCGUCGAGUCAUUUUCGUCAAAGUUUUCAUACAUUGAGUGAAGAUCACAUGGAAGAGUGUGUGGCAUAGGCACCUUGGGACUAUUGUGACGUUGAAUGAUGGAGAAAUUGGCUUGGCUAAAAUUAAUUUAACAUGAAAUGUGGACCCAAAAUGUAAAGAAAAAUUUAACAACUUUUGUUUUUUGUUUUUUUGUUUUUUAGUUAAGUACAAAAUGAAAAAUUGAAAAUCAAGAUCACAUGAUUGUCCAUAGCUUGAGAAUUAAGGAUCAUUGAUAAGCAAUGAUGGAACUUGAAUUUUUAAUGUCAGUAACGUGAGGAAAAAUAUGUGGUUAGGUUACAUUUGUUAGGCCAUAGAAUUAUGAAUAAUAUCUGUGUGUUUGCUUUGUUGUGGCAUAUCAAUUAUAAUUUAAAGGUGAUACG